AGCAGCAGCCGCGGUAAUACGAGGGGGGCAAGCGUUGUUCGGAAUUAUUGGGCGUAAAGGGCGCGUAGGCGGUUUGACAAGUCUUGUGUGAAAUCUCUGGGCUCAACCCAGAGUCUGCACGGGAAACUGUCGGGCUUGAGUAUGGGAGAGGUGAGUGGAAUUUCCGGUGUAGCGGUGAAAUGCGUAGAUAUCGGAAGGAACACCUGUGGCGAAAGCGGCUCACUGGACCAUAACUGACGCUGAGGCGCGAAAGCUAGGGGAGCAAACAGGAUUAGAUACCCCGGUAGUCCCUGUCUCUUAUAU
rnacentral:rRNA from 1 species